AUUAAAAAAAAAAAUCGAAACUUUGAAUCUUUUACAUUGGUGAAUGCUUCACCCACGACUAACGAGAAACUUCAAAACAGAAAAUAGACAAAGAAAGUUUAAGUCGUUGUUAGGUUAGGAAAAGAACUAUAUUCUCAAAAAUUACUAAAAUUAGCAGUCCUUUUACUUUGCUCUACUUCUCUCAGCCGCCAAACAGAUCUUCCAUUUUCCAAGAAGUCGCUUUUAGUCCCAAUUUCAGUUAACACAGCCAAUUAAGCCAAACAACAAUUUACUAUCAUUUGCUUCAUUUUCUGAGCAACCAAACAAAAACCAAAAACUCGAUCCA
rnacentral:misc_RNA from 1 species